AAGGGCUAAUUGCAAGGGCUAAUUGCAAGGGCUGGUAAUUCCAAGGGCUAAUUGCAAGGGCUAACCUUGCAGCCUCAUCUCCCCACCCCUUAUGAGCUGACAUUUUGCUUGACACAGGAAUGUCCGGGAGCGAGAUCCACAGGCUGCAGAGGUUCCUACGACCUGGAAGCAGACCCAGUAGAGGAGUGCAUGCUCCAGCACCGACUCCACAACACACCAUGAAAUGUGUAGAGUCCCUCUAACUGAAAAUGCCCAACUCCUGGCAACGCCUGCCCAGGUAACUCUGUCUCCCAAUGACAUACAGAGGCCAGAAGGGUUCAGGAGCGCAGGAAAAGCUCAGCAGGGCUCAUCAGGAAAGUGGAAACACACUAGAACCAGAGAUACCACGCAGACACACGAGCAGAGCAAGCUGCAAAAAAGCCCGAUAGCCACACACUGGGUCCGCGCACUGCAAGCCCUCCAGUUACAGAGCGUGGGAAAUGAGUCAACGUCAUGCUGUCCCCAUCUGUCGUGAGGGCUGAGUUGGGCAGAGAACCUGCUUGCUUGCCCUUCCCUCUCUCUUCAGCUCCUGUUUCCUAAACUCACACUGAACUUCAACAUCUAGAUUUCUGGAGCCUGUCUCUGUCCUUGUCCUCUGUUCCCCCUUUGCAUUUCUUCUGGCCUGGUCUGACUCUUUUGCUUUGACCUUGACACCAGCUUUUCCCUUCCAGUCUAAUGAAUCUAGUAUUUGGACAACUUUGAAAUACCGCCCAAUGGUCCCUUCCAGUUGUAGCAUUCCACAGCAUGAGUAAAUCACAGUAAACUGUCAACCUUUUAAUCCUUGUUAAACCAGUUUAACAAGCAUUGCCUGUUCCUUAUGUACGAUACAAACCACUUUACCUAAGUGAUGUGAGAAGGCUUGUCUGAGAGGAAGCCAAGCGGAGGGCAGCAGAGCCUCAUGGUGGGGAGCCAUGGAGAGCGCUGGGGCCAGCUCUGGCGGAGACGAAGACCACCUCUGCGUUUUUCAAUAACAUAAUACAAUAAAUAUCCUUUUUGCUGAGGUCCUCUUGCGGUGAGGUGGGAGUUUCAGGUGAAACUGAAGAAGGUCUGGUAGACCUUGACCUGGUUCUAGUGCACUAGCGCUGACUUGCCUUAGCUGUGCAACGACAGGCAACUAAUAAUGGGAUGAGGGCGUGUCUCUUGAGGGAAGAAAAAAGACCAGUCCUAGACCGGACCUACUCUGAGGGGCAGGAAAUCUGAAUUCUAGACUGGCUUCUUUUACUUCCGCCCUGAGCCGUCCCUGGGCCUCUGCUUCCCAGUGGCUGUGGAGAGGCUGAGGGGUUGCAGGUCCCGCCUCACUCUGGGAGCGGGUGUCUCCUGCCCAGGCUGCCAGCUGUACCACGGGCACCCACUCCGCCGAGGGCAGUGUGCACUCCUCCACGGCACUCUCAGGGUCAGAACCAGGACUUGUGACUCAGAACAGACAUAUCCAUUGCCAACUGAUGAGAUGGGAGAGACAGAGGAGGCCGGUGUACCUCCCCUACCAGCUGCCACUGAUCUCUACAGCUGCCUGUCCCCAAAUGAGUGCCCAGCCCUGGCACAGUGGGAAGGCCCUCCAGGGUUCAGACUUCCCCUCCGUGCAGCAAAGAGGGGCUCCUCCAUGGCCCCCACUCUAAGGGGCGCAGGAGCUUCACAGCCUGGACCCUGCUUGUUUCUUGGGCUGGAACUUGAGCCCCAGUCUGGCUCUACCCCUGGCCUCUAGUCUGGCUCCCCCCGACCCCGGCCAACAGACACACACCCCGUGCUACUCUCCGUGGGCCUCUGUCUCACCGUUGUCGUGGUUCUGCUAUUUAGAAAUGAUGAUUCCCCCCUCCAGACCAAGUCCCCUGUCUGCAAUGAUGUCCUGCCCAACCUAUCCACCAGCUCACCCUUCCUGGCCUAAUUAAAGCACCACCCACUCUCAGAAGCCUCCUCUGAGCUCGUGAUGGUGACUGUCUCCCUGACGCAGGUUCUUCCCAGCACCAGGUCCCUCGGCUACAGCAUUCGCAGGCCCACGCACGUCACAGCUAUUUAUAGAUGUCUUCAGCUCCCUGGAAGGAGGUUCUGACUCAACCCCCAAAAGCAAGUUCCAGAAACACGCUUAGGAAGGUAAAGAAGCAGCCUGGGAGAAAAACAAUGCUCUUGCCGUGGGGCGGCGGGGGGGAGGGACACUUACUUUUUGCUUCAUACAGUUCAUCACUUAUAAAAUUUAUCAGUAUUACAAGGUUGUAAACAUUACAUUAUAACAUUACAAUGUUAUAAAAUAACAUCUUCAGUAACUUUCUACAUAAAAUCUCACAUAUUUCUUUUUUUUUUUUUUUUUUUUUUGGCGGUACGUGGGCCUCUCACUGUUGUGGCCUCUCCCGUUGCGGAGCACAGGCUCCGGACGCGCAGGCUCAGCGGCCAUGGCUCACAGGCCCAGCCGCUCCGCGGCAUGUGGGAUCCUCCCGGACCGGGGCACGAACCCGCGUCCCCUGCAUCGGCAGGCAGACUCUCAACCACUGCGCCACCAGGGAAGCCCUCACAUAUUUCUUAAAUUUAUUCCUAGGUAUUUUAUGGUUUGUGUUGCCACAUUAGCACUUAAAAGAAUAAGGUAGGUCUUAUGCGCCAAAACAGAUCUCUAGCUCUAUUUUUGAGAAAAAGCAAGCUGUAAGACCAUAUCCCCAGUAUAAUACCUCUUAUAACUUUUUUAAAAAAUAAAGUUAUUUAUUUAUUUA